rnacentral:rRNA from 1 species
AUUGAACGCUGGCGGCAGGCUUAACACAUGCAAGUCGAGCGGAGAUGAGGUGCUUGCACCUUAUCUUAGCGGCGGACGGGUGAGUAAUGCUUAGGAAUCUGCCUAUUAGUGGGGGACAACAUUCCGAAAGGAAUGCUAAUACCGCAUACGUCCUACGGGAGAAAGCAGGGGAUCUUCGGACCUUGCGCUAAUAGAUGAGCCUAAGUCGGAGUAGCUAGUUGGUGGGGUAAAGGCCUACCAAGGCGACGAUCUGUAGCGGGUCUGAGAGGAUGAUCCGCCACAAUGGGACUGCGACACGGCCCAGACUCCUACGGGAGGCAGCAGUGGGGAAUAUUGGGCAAUGGGGGGAACCCUGAUCCAGCCAUGCCGCGUGUGUGAAGAAGGCCUUAUGGUUGUAAAGCACUUUAAGCGAGGAGGAGGCUACUGAGACUAAUACUCUUGGAUAGUGGACGUUACUCGCAGAAUAAGCACCGGCUAACUCUGUGCCAGCCGCCGCUGUAA